UUAUAAGAGACAGCAGCAGCCGCGGUAAUACAGAGGGUGCGAGCGUUAAUCGGAUUUACUGGGCGUAAAGCGUGCGUAGGCGGCUUCUUAAGUCGGAUGUGAAAUCCCUGAGCUUAACUUAGGAAUUGCAUUCGAUACUGGGAAGCUAGAGUAUGGGAGAGGAUGGUAGAAUUCCAGGUGUAGCGGUGAAAUGCGUAGAGAUCUGGAGGAAUACCGAUGGCGAAGGCAGCCAUCUGGCCUAAUACUGACGCUGAGGUACGAAAGCAUGGGGAGCAAACAGGAUUAGAUACCCGCGUAGUCCCUGUCUCUUAUAC
rnacentral:rRNA from 1 species